ACUGAAUAGAUACCCGGGUAGUCCACGCCCUAAACGAUGUCAACUGGUUGUUGGGAAUUCAUUUUCUCAGUAAACGAAAGCUAAACGCGUGAAGUUGACCGCCUGGGGAGUACGGCCGCAAGGCUAAAACUCAAAGGAAUUGACGGGGACCCGCACAAGCGGUGGAUGAUGUGGUUUAAUUCGAUGCAACGCGAAAAACCUUACCCACCUUUGACAUGUACGGAACUUGCCAGAGAUGGCUUGGUGCCCGAAAGGGAGCCGUAACACAGGUGCUGCAUGGCUGUCGUCAGCUCGUGUCGUGAGAUGUUGGGUUAAGUCCCGCAACGAGCGCAACCCUUGCCAUUAGUUGCUACGAAAGGGCACUCUAAUGGGACUGCCGGUGACAAACCGGAGGAAGGUGGGGAUGACGUCAAGUCCUCAUGGCCCUUAUAGGUGGGGCUACACACGUCAUACGAAUGGCUGGUACAGAGGGUUGCCAACCCGGCGAGGGGGUAGCUAAUCCCACAAAGCCAGUCGUAGUCCGGAUCGCAGUCUGCAACUCGACUGCGUGAA
rnacentral:rRNA from 1 species